rnacentral:rRNA from 1 species
GCCUACGGGGGGCAGCAGUAGGGAAUAUUGGUUAAUGGGCGAAAGCCUGACCCAGCAACGCCGCGUGAACGAUGAAGGCCUUCGGGUUGUAAAGUUCUUUUGACCGGGAUGAGGAAGGACAGUACCGGUCGAAUAAGUCUCGGCUAACUACGUGCCAGCAGCCGCGGUAACACGUAGGAGACGAGCGUUAUCCGGAUUUACUGGGUGUAAAGCGCGUGCAGGCGGUAUGGUAAGUUGGAUGUGAAAGCUCCUGGCUUAACUGGGAGAGGUCGUUCAAAACUACCAGACUAGAGGACAGCAGAGGGGAGUGGAAUUCCGAGUGUAGCGGUAAAAUGCAUAGAUAUUCGGAAGAACACCAGUGGCGAAGGCGGCUCUCUGGGCUGUACCUGACGCUCAGACGCGAAAGCUAGGGUAGCAAACGGGAUUAGAUACCCUUGUAGUC